UACGUAGGGUGCAAGCGUUGUCCGGACUUAUUGGGCGUAAAGAGCUCGUAGGCGGUCUGUCGCGUCUGCUGUGAAAACUCGGGGCUUAACCCCGGGCCUGCAGUGGGUACGGGCAGACUAGAGUGCGGUAGGGGAGACUGGAAUUCCUGGUGUAGCGGUGAAAUGCGCAGAUAUCAGGAGGAACACCGGUGGCGAAGGCGGGUCUCUGGGCCGUAACUGACGCUGAGGAGCGAAAGCAUGGGGAGCGAACAGG
rnacentral:rRNA from 1 species